CUGAAAGUUAAAAGACCGAAGCUUUCCUCCCGCUUGCGACGCCAGACCUUCUCGCGCUGACACUCAGAGGCUCCUGCAGAGAAUCAAGCUGUUGUGCAGAGGUGCCUCAAAGGACCUCAAGGAGUAUGCUGAGCAAACACACUGACAAUCACGUUACACCAGGAAAUAAUCUUGGGAUCCCACUUAAAGAAAAUUUGUGAGAUGAAUCCACUAUCCUCCAUGGAGGCAGACACCGCCAAGGACAAGCACCUGGAUUCAUUAUCUCCUCUCCGCAAAGAGAUACAGGCUGGUGGGAAAGCUGCUGACCAGCAAGGUCACAGUCUUCCUCCUCUCUGCAAGUGUCUCAAGGCCAAAGACAGGCUGGUGGGAAAGCUCUGACCAGCAAGGCCAUAUGCUCCCCCUCCCCUACCUAAAACCCCAAAUAAAGCCCUUCCUUUCAGCUUUUUGGGGAGUUUGGGAUUUCAGCGUUAGCUGCCCUCUCUCCUUGCUCAGCGCUGUGCAAAAAUAAAGUUCCUACUUUCUUCCAC
rnacentral:lncRNA from 1 species